AUGGACGCGGGGCAGAUGCUCUCCCCCGGCGAGGCAGAGUGGCCCCCCGAGCUUCGCCUCCCGCCGCCUCCUCCCAUGCCGGACCCCGCUCCCCCGCCGCGGCCCAGCCAGCCGUCUCCAGCGCCACCAGCGGGGUCGCCUCACCCUCACCGUCUCACUGCGUGGCUGCAGGCUCCUGCCUCGAACAAGGAGCCGUCCCCGCCUCGUCAUACCGAGGGGUUUGAUGAUUCGCACUUCCUCGGUUCGAUCAUGGAGGCCGCGGCCCCGGUCCAGCAGCAGCAGCAGCAGCAGGAGGAACCAGCCGUGGCUGAGGCACCGGUGAAGAGGAAGAGAGGGAGGCCGCGGAAGAACAGGGACGGAGCGGUUGCUGCGCCUGCGCCUCCCAAGCCAGUGAAGAAGAAUGACGACGAGGAGGUGGUGUGCUUUAUCUGCUUCGACGGGGGCAGCCUCGUGGUUUGCGACCGCAGGGGUUGCUCCAAGGUGUACCAUCCUGCCUGCAUCAAGCGUGACGAGUCGUUUUUCCGCUCCCGUGGCAAGUGGAAUUGUGGUUGGCACAUUUGCAGCAGCUGUGAAAAGGCAGCACAGUACAUGUGCUAUACUUGUACUUACUCCCUCUGCAAGGCAUGCGUCAAACAGGGCAAAUUCUUUGGUGUUAGAGGGAACAAGGGCUUCUGUGACACUUGCUAUGCCACUAUAUUGUUGAUAGAGUCCAAAGACCAAGAUGCUACAAAGGUGAUGGUUGAUUUUGAUGAUAAAAAUAGUUGGGAAUAUCUCUUCAAGUUAUAUUGGCUGGAUGUAAAAGGGAAGCAUUUAUUAACAUUGGAAGAACUAAUCAGUGCCAAAAGCAAUUGGACUGUUCGAAGCAUUUCUGCUAGGAGAGAAAAAGAGGAGUCAUCUGGUGAGCGAUAUGAAGCAAACAAUGACCAUAAUGUCAGUUCUGACAACUCUUCGAGGAAACGAAGUCGGGGUACUUCUUUAAGGAAAAGGGGGCGGAAGCGUCAAAAUCAUAGUCUUAAUACUGCAAGGAACUGUGAAAUUUCAAUUAAAGGUUCCGAAAGCUUAGCCAAGGGAGCACCAUUUGAAGGCAUGGAUUUGUCGGGUGACACGAAAUGGGCCUCACCGGAGCUGCUGGAAUUCAUUGGGCACAUGAGAAAUGGUGAUGUGUCUCAAAUUUCCCAAUUUGAUGUUCAGGUUCUGUUGCUUGAGUACAUAAAGCAAAAUAAUCUUCGUGACCCUCGCAAAAAAAGUCAAAUUAUUUGUGAUGCAAGGCUUAGUAGUCUGUUUAGGAAACCACGUGUUGGUCAUUUCGAGAUGUUAAAACUUUUGGAGAUUCAUCUUCAUGUGAAAGAGACUCCAGCAUUAAAUGGUGAUACCCAAUUAGCCCGUGAACCAGAUUCAGCACAAGUAGAUAGUGGAGGACAUAGUGAGAUGGGAACUAAGUUAAGCUCUGAUAAGAGGAGGAAGACUCAUAAGAAGCUUGAAAGAGAUCUACCAGCUAAUCUAGAGGAUUAUGCAGCCAUUGACAUGCAUAAUAUCAAUUUAAUAUACUUGCGCCGCAGCUUGAUGGAGGAUAUCAUUGAUGAUGUUGCUGCAUUCUCUGAGAAGAUUACUGGUGCUUUUGUGAGGAUAAGAAUUCCGGGUUCUGGCCAAAAGCAAGAUAUGUAUCGCCUAGUCAAAGUUCUUGGUACACAUAAAGUUGCAGAACGAUACAGUGUUGGUAAGAAGACAACAGACUGUGCACUUGAGAUAUCAAACUUAGAUAAGAAGGAAGUGAUCACAAUGGAUACGAUCUCAAAUCAGGAUUUCACACAGGAUGAAUGCAAACGCUUACGCCAGAGCAUGAAGUAUGGUCUAAUUCCUCGACUUAAAGUGGGAGACAUAUAUGAGAUAGCCAAAAGCUUCCAAUCUCUGCAAAUUAAUGAUUGGUUGGUAAAUGAAAAGCAGAGGCUGAGCCAUCUCCGUGACCGUGCUAGCGAAACUGGACGCCGAAAAGAACUAAGAGAGUGCGUAGAGAAGUUACAACUUCUGAACACUCCUGAAGAAAUAGCACGCAAGAUUAAUGAAGUUCCAGAAGUACAUGUUGAUCCCCAUAUGGCUCCUACUUAUGAAUCUGCUGAAGAAUGGAAUGAUGAAACAACUGUUGAUUUGACCAUAAAUGGGAAUGGACCAGAUCUUCUCUUUCCUGGAAGAGAAGCGGCAGAAUCAAACGCUGUGCAGUACCUGUCACAAAAAUGUCCCGAUGCUAGUCGUCACUCUAGUUUAAAUCUUCCUACGGAGGGCGUAACACAUAUACCAGGAGCAGGAAGUAUCACUAAUUUGCAGGCAGCAAAUGGAUCGAAUAUUCCUCGGCCUCGCAUUGAUUUAAAUAAUACAGCGGGUGAUGCUGCAUCAGUUCCGUCAUCUGGGGUUGUAUCAAGUGACACGGAGCCAGAAAAAGUAUGGCACUACAAGGACCCUUCUGGAAAUGUUCAGGGCCCGUUUACUCUUUCACAGCUAUCCAAGUGGACUACUUAUUUCCCAAGUGGCAUGAAGAUAUGGCUCACAUUUGAGAGUGAAGAGAACUCAUUGUUGCUGACUGAAGUGCUCUCAACACAGCAGAAAGAUAUCAUUCAACCUACGCCAGUUAUUAACAAUAGUAAAUCUGCAUGGGCAGGCUCUGGGCAAGAUAGAAUUAACCCAAGUAUGACUGGAAACAUUACUUCCCCUAUUGGCUAUAAUGUUGUCUACUCUUCUGGAUUACCCAGCCAGUCUUCUGACCGUCCUCCUCUGAGAAGAGAAAGUCCAAACUUUAUGGGUGAAGCUUUGCCAUCAACAACUUGCUGGGAGCCACUGGCUUCUAGUGUCCAGAUUCAGCAUCAGGCUAACUGUUCAAGCACCAUUCCAUUAUUUGCUGGUUCAUAUAGAUCAACAGGAUCUCAUGGUGAUGGGGUCCCCCGAGAAAAGAUUGGGGAACACAACAAUCGCCAAGAAACCGGUGGUUUGUGUAGUCCAACCCCACCACCAAAGAGUCACAACAGCCAGAGUAACAUGAAGCCUGAGAGCUGUUCAAGGUCAAAUCUUGUUGAUGGAAGAGAAUCCAAUUCAGCCUUGGGCAUUCCUAGUCAGUCAAGAGCUCCUGCCUGCGGUGCACAAUCAACUUCAUUUACAUGCACUUCUAGUUCAAGCAAGACCAAGGAGAUCAUGAAUCUGCAGAAACCAUGCCCCCCUGAUGCAUCAAAUGCUUCAGUUAAUCAACUUUUUGAGCCUAAAAUUGAUUCAGUGUUAUCCCCUGGCACUCAAGAUCAAUAUCCCAGUCCAAAUCCAAAAUUUGAGAGGAAGCAGCCUGUGAUGAACAAGUCAGGGUCAACAUCAGUAGCACCUGAAGAUUCAGCUACAAAGGCAUAUGACCACUCUUCAAUAGCUUUCUUGUCAGAAACAUCUGGUCCGCCUUCAAGUAAAUUUGUUGGCUUGCAAUUACUUAAGGAAACACAAACAUCAUGUGUAGAAGAAAGAGAUCUAAAAGAUGGAGGCUGUGUCACUCAAACAGCGCCACUAAAAGGAGAUGCUACAUCAGCUAAGAGAGAUAACAUAACUGUUAGUUCUGUCUCUGAUGCUGGAGUUUGUGAUGUGCUGGGAUCUUUGACAGAACCAAACUGUGGAACUUAUAAUGUGCAUGCUGGAAUGCCUUUGGAAAAUGUCAACCCAGCUUCAGCUGAGGAAGAAAGGCCGCAGUGCUCUAGCCCUAUUGCGCUAUCUCCUUGGGGUGAACCUAGUUACUAUCAAGGCGGAGCUGUUGAUUCUGCUCUGUGGGGUGUUCAAGAUGACCCAAGCAAUGACAUGUGGUCAUUGUCUUCACCAACACCUGCUCUCCAACCCUCCUCAGAUCUUGGAGCUGAUGGAAAAGAUACUUCAUGCAUUAUAGAGGAGGCAGUAGUAGCCCGAGGAAAUAGCGCUGUUGGUGAAAUACCACCAACACCAGAGGAAAAGAUGGAAAAAGGCAACCCAAGUGCUUCCACAGAUUGUGGAGUGCCAGAGCAGGUAAAACUAAAACCAAGUGCUGCAUUGUUGAACUCAUCUCUCAAGAGCACAGAAGCUUCAGGCGGGCAACCAUUAGGUUCAUCUUUGGAGGGGAGCACAAAAGCUUCAGGUCGGCAACCGGUAGGCUCAUUCCUGGACGGGAACACAAAAGUUUCAGGCAGGCAAGCAGUAGGCCAAUUUCUCGAGGGGAGCACAAAGGCUUCAGGAUGGCAAUCAGGUUCAUCUCUAGAGACAAGCGCUAAAGGUUCAGGCUGGGGUUCAUCUGUAGAUGGAAGCACAAAAGGUUCAGGCUGGGGUUCAUCUGUAGAUGGAAGCACAAAAGGUUCAGGGCGGGGUUUAUCUCUAGAGGUAAACACAAAAGGUUCAGGUUGGGGUUCAUCUCUAGAGGGAGGCACAAAAGGUUCAGGUUGGGGUUCAUCUCUAGAGGGAAGCACACAAGCCUCAGGCUGGUUACGAUCAAGUUCAUCUCCGGAGGGGAGAAAAACUCCAGGUCGGCAUUCGUCAGCCCGUGAGAGUUCAAAGGUGAAUUUCAAGAGUGGCAGCCAAAACCGUAACUCGUCUUCAGGUCACCAAACAACACCAACGGCUAAAAGCUCUUCAGAAGCACAAAGGAGACAGGGAAGCACCAAUUCAAAUUCUGCUGGCUGGGGAGAGGCACCAGGGAGCAACAAGAGCUGGCAUCCAUCUUCUGGCAGUGCUAGUCGAGGCAGCCAGUCGAAUCAACACCAUGAUAGGCACUGUCACGGCAACGAAUCACGGCGGGGUAGCUAUCAGGGCAAUGAUUCACGGCGUGGUAGCUCGAACCACUCUAGGAGGUCGUCUGAUCAUCGUCAAGAUCAUGGCAGCGGUAUGUCAUCAAGAUCAUCGUCAAGAGGGCAGUCUCAACGAGGAAUAUGCAAAUAUUAUGAGAAUGGCCACUGCUGGAAGGGGCCAUCUUGCUCUUUUGUACACCGUUGA
rnacentral:rRNA from 1 species